GACGAGGUGGCCCGAGUGGUUAAGGCGUUUGGAAUGCUAAUCCAAUGUGCCUCUGGCACGCGUGGGUUCGAAUCCCAUCCUCGUCG